CACAGGGAGCUGUGCAAGCAGAGGAGGGAUAUCUCACCUGGCCUUGGCAGCCAGAGCAGCUUCCCAGAGAAGAAGAUGAAGAGCUCAGUCCUGAAGAAGUAGAAGUUAGCGAGUUAAAGAGGGGCAGGCUGGGAUGGAGAGGGGACUAGAUACCACAAGCAGGACGAUCGUGUUGCACAAAUCCAGGGGAUGCUAUUCGCACUGUGGUCUAGAAUAUAAACAGCGCCUCCUGGAGUUGUGUAGCUCAGUGACCUAAAGGAGUUAGCCUCCCAAUUUGCCAGAAAACCUUUAAAAAGCUAGGCUGAGAAUAUCGACAAGAUCAUGUGCUAAAUGCAAAGAAGUCUUCAGGAGGGGGCUGUGGCAGGAGGGAAAUGGGUGGGAGUGGGCUUCUAGGUUCUUGCAAAGAUUAAAACUGAACCCUCCAUUGAAAGCCUUUCAAGAUGCCCCCAGACCUGGAAACAGUGCUGGACUUGGCUGGAAAAAGGGGAGGCUGUCAGGAGGUAAAGCUGGAGAAUGCUGGAACCUCAGACACCGAAACGCUAAUAGACAUGGCUCAUCCCUACCGAAAACCAAGUGAGAAAUUCGUGCUUAGUCUCAUAUUUGACAAUCUGGAAUUGCUCAUUUUCAUACUCACUUUCAAUAAGAGAGAGCCCUGAGCAAGGUUGUGAAAUAAAAUAAUUAUAGUCCUUUCAUUCAUACUGCAUUGUAUAAUUUACAUAAAGUUUUGUUAUUCAUUUUUUUAUCCGAGUCUCACAACAACCGUGUGAGGCAGGUGGAACAGGGAUUGCCAUUCCCUUCUGGCAAAAGACGAAACCGAGGCCCAGAACAGUUAAGUUACCAGAAUUCAUAGAGCCCAUUAUGUGGAACAGCCAGGCUAGAAUUCAGGCCCUUUGAGACAUUCCACGUUCGUUCCACUCUACCACGGAGAAAGGCUUGCCUUUGACAACUUGCCUGCCAGCUCCCUUGCCCACACUUGCUACUUUGUGACACCACGCUGCUUAUAUCCACCCCUGGGAAACUUCUCAUUUGUCUCCCCCUUCCACGGCGACCUUUUCUAGGCUACAGCCCCUCGUCCACACGCAGCUUUUCUCUGAUCUCAAGAACGUGUCCAUGCAGAGGAACUCUUUUUAAGGUUCUGUUUCAUGAGAGGGGCCGGGAGAACCUACCCACUGACCUAAUUUACUAAUUCUUGCUGAGAAGUUUGGGGAGUGAUUGUUACUCCUCCGAGAUAACAGCGCACUUUAAGAGAAGUUCUCAAUGCCUUACUCCAAAGGAUAGAUUCCAAUUGUGAGAGUUUUAGCGUUUUGGCUUAUUUUGAAGCGCCUGCAGAUCCUAUGAUGUAAGUGCCCCUUCCCCCUAACACACACCUGGGACUAGCCCCACCUGAGUGAGCUAACAAGCUAGUCGUCUAGUCCUUUGUGCAUAGGUGCCUUCUUCCUCUGAGCCCAGGGAACACAUCUUGACUCGCAGCUGAAGACUGGCUCCGUGGCCAGCUGGCACCCAGAGCUCUCCCAGGGAGAGUCAGCUUUUGGGAGCUAACGGCACACUCCUGCCUGGUCUGCAGCGCCUGCCAUAGGUCUCCCCUUCCCGUCCCUCCAGGGAGCUGGAGCUUCUCCUUCUUCCUGAGAUGCUCAGGGAUUCUUGUCAGACCACCUGAUUUCUCCUGCAACUGCAGUUUCCAGCAUUCUGACAGUCUUCCAUCUCAAGUAGCUUGUCUCUCUUCUCUGCCUGAGGCUUUCUUAGGCAGUGGAAGCUUGCUCUGCCUGAGCCAGGUGCAACCCGGAAGUGCAGGAUAGUAAAGAUCAUUGGCGCUGACCUUCAACCAAUGGGGAUGGAAUAAAUAUCACAGACUUCUCCUCCGAUGGGAUGAUUCUGAGGCAUGGUCCACAUGGUUUAUCAGAGAGUCUCCUGCAAGACUGAGUCCCAGCUGCCCACAGGAUAACUUGCUCGUUAACAUACUUGUUAGUAGCUUUUCUCCCUUCUUUGUCUCACUUUCCCCAUUUUCUUCUUGUGCUCCUGAGAUCACCUCCUAAAUAAACC
ensembl:lncRNA